rnacentral:rRNA from 1 species
AUACGGAGGAUCCGAGCGUUAUCCGGAUUUAUUGGGCUUAAAGGGUGCGCAGGCGGCCAUUUAAGUCAGCGGUUAAAUCGUGGGGCUCAACCCCAUUCUGCCGUUGAUACUGGGUGGCUUGAUUGCGGUCGAGGUUGGCGGAAUUCGUUGUGUAGCGGUGAAAUGCAUAGAUAUGACGAAGAACACCGAUUGCGUAGGCAGCUGACCAGACCGCAAAUGACGCUCAUGCACGAAAGUGCGGGGAUCGAACAGGAUUAGAUACCCUGGUAGUCCGCACAGUAAACGAUGAAUACUUGUUUUCGGCGAUAUAAUGUCGGAGGCAAAGCGAAAGCGAUAAGUAUUCCACCUGGGGAGUACGCCGGCAACGGUGAAACUCAAAUGAAUUGGCGGGG